UCCGUCCUGCAGGUUGCAGCGCCAUCCUUAACUCCAUCCCAGCCUUCUCCGUCCUUGCCCGAGCGCGCUCGUCCACGUCUUGCGCCACGGCGUCGUUUCCGCCCGCUGCUUGUUCUUUGUUUCGCGAUGUUUCUCUUUGUUCUGCGCUGGAUCGAUCCUUGCAUGGCUGGGUCAAGUCAUCUACGUAUCAAGUGCAAUCUACAUACAGAGUACAGACUAGCUGCUCGUCAGUCUCAGCCGGCGCCAUCUCUGCAUGUUGCUUCCUCUGCAUCCAGUCACCGCCCGGUUCCAGGAGUCAGCCGCACGGGCUGGUUUGUUCUUCGCAUUUGCUUCUUCCCGGAUAGAAUCGCGAAGUGGUGUGGUGAGAUACGAC